AGACCCGAAACCCGGUGAUCUAGCCAUGGGCAGGUUGAAGGUUGGGUAACACUAACUGGAGGACCGAACCGACUAAUGUUGAAAAAUUAGCGGAUGACCUGUGGCUGGGGGUGAAAGGCCAAUCAAACCGGGAGAUAGCUGGUUCUCCCCGAAAGCUAUUUAGGUAGCGCCUCGUGAAUUCAUCUCCGGGGGUAGAGCACUGUUUCGGCUAGGGGGCCAUCCCGGCUUACCAACCCGAUGCAAACUGCGAAUACCGGAGAAUGUUAUCACGGGAGACACACGGCGGGUGCUAACGUCCGUCGUGAAGAGGGAAACAACCCAGACCGCCAGCUAAGGUCCCAAAGUCAUGGUUAAGUGGGAAACGAUGUGGGAAGGCCCAGACAGCCAGGAUGUUGGCUUAGAAGCAGCCAUCAUUUAAAGAAAGCGUAAUAGCUCACUGGUCGAGUCGGCCUGCGCGGAAGAUGUAACGGGGCUAAACCAUGCACCGAAGCUGCGGCAGCGACGCUGAUGCGUUGUUGGGUAGGGGAGCGUUCUGUAAGCCUGCGAAGGUGUGUCGUGAGGCAUGCUGGAGGUAUCAGAAGUGCGAAUGCUGACAUAAGUAACGAUAAAGCGGGUGAAAAGCCCGCUCGCCGGAAGACCAAGGGUUCCUGUCCAACGUUAAUCGGGGCAGGGUGAGUCGACCCCUAAGGCGAGGCCGAAAGGCGUAGUCGAUGGGAAACGGGUUAAUAUUCCCGUACUUGGUGUUACUGCGAAGGGGGGACGGAGAAGGCUAUGUUGGCCGGGCGACGGUUGUCCCGGUUUAAGCGUGUAGGUGUGUGUUCCAGGUAAAUCCGGUUCACUUUAACACUGAGGCGUGACGACGAGGCACUACGGUGCUGAAGCAACAAAUGCCCUGCUUCCAGGAAAAGCCUCUAAGCAUCAGGUAACAUCAAAUCGUACCCCAAACCGACACAGGUGGUCAGGUAGAGAAUACCAAGGCGCUUGAGAGAACUCGGGUGAAGGAACUAGGCAAAAUGGUGCCGUAACUUCGGGAGAAGGCACGCUGACACGUAGGUGAAGUGAUUUACUCAUGGAGCUGAAGUCAGUCGAAGAUACCAGCUGGCUGCAACUGUUUAUUAAAAACACAGCACUGUGCAAACACGAAAGUGGACGUAUACGGUGUGACGCCUGCCCGGUGCCGGAAGGUUAAUUGAUGGGGUCAGCGCAAGCGAAGCUCCUGAUCGAAGCCCCGGUAAACGGCGGCCGUAACUAUAACGGUCCUAAGGUAGCGAAAUUCCUUGUCGGGUAAGUUCCGACCUGCACGAAUGGCGUAAUGAUGGCCAGGCUGUCUCCACCCGAGACUCAGUGAAAUUGAACUCGCUGUGAAGAUGCAGUGUACCCGCGGCAAGACGGAAAGACCCCGUGAACCUUUACUAUAGCUUGACACUGAACAUUGAGCCUUGAUGUGUAGGAUAGGUGGGAGGCUUUGAAGUGUGGACGCCAGUCUGCAUGGAGCCGACCUUGAAAUACCACCCUUUAAUGUUUGAUGUUCUAACGUGGACCCGUAAUCCGGGUUGCGGACAGUGUCUGGUGGGUAGUUUGACUGGGGCGGUCUCCUCCUAAAGAGUAACGGAGGAGCACGAAGGUUGGCUAAUCCUGGUCGGACAUCAGGAGGUUAGUGCAAUGGCAUAAGCCAGCUUGACUGCGAGCGUGACGGCGCGAGCAGGUGCGAAAGCAGGUCAUAGUGAUCCGGUGGUUCUGAAUGGAAGGGCCAUCGCUCAACGGAUAAAAGGUACUCCGGGGAUAACAGGCUGAUACCGCCCAAGAGUUCAUAUCGACGGCGGUGUUUGGCACCUCGAUGUCGGCUCAUCACAUCCUGGGGCUGAAGUAGGUCCCAAGGGUAUGGCUGUUCGCCAUUUAAAGUGGUACGCGAGCUGGGUUUAGAACGUCGUGAGACAGUUCGGUCCCUAUCUGCCGUGGGCGCUGGAGAACUGAGGGGGGCUGCUCCUAGUACGAGAGGACCGGAGUGGACGCAUCACUGGUGUUCGGGUUGUCAUGCCAAUGGCACUGCCCGGUAGCUAAAUGCGGAAGAGAUAAGUGCUGAAAGCAUCUAAGCACGAAACUUGCCCCGAGAU
rnacentral:rRNA from 1 species